rnacentral:pre_miRNA from 1 species
UGGACAAAUUAUUGUAUUCGAUUGUAUUCACGUCGUGAAAUAGGGGAUUACACUGUUUUUAAAACGGAAAGUGAAUCAAUUAACAUAAUAGACUCCU